rnacentral:lncRNA from 1 species
CCAGUCUUGCGCAGUAAAAUGGGAAGAAUAAAUAUAUAAGGUUCACAAACAUCCAUGAUUUUUGUUUGCAUGAAUUUCCUUUUUGGCUGCAGAGAAUUGUAAAUAGUUAGACGUCUACGAUGCACAUCAAACGUUAACAUAAACCAAUGGUCCGAUGAUGACAUAUGGAUGGAGAACAAAACAUAGUCAAUAUUUUUUCAUGGUGUGUUGACAUCCAUAAACAGCCCAUGAAUGUAUUCAGCAACAUCACCCUCCCCAGACAAUACACUCUUAUCUACGUUUUUACUUGAAUACUCUUCAAAAAUAGAGGUCAUCUUGGCAUGGAACCAACAAUCCGUAGUCUUUG